rnacentral:rRNA from 1 species
GAUGAACGCUGGCGGCGUGCCUAAUACAUGCAAGUCGAGCGAAUGGAUUAAGAGCUUGCUCUUAUGAAGUUAGCGGCGGACGGGUGAGUAACACGUGGGUAACCUGCCCAUAAGACUGGGAUAACUCCGGGAAACCGGGGCUAAUACCGGAUAACAUUUUGAACCGCAUGGUUCGAAAUUGAAAGGCGGCUUCGGCUGUCACUUAUGGAUGGACCCGCGUCGCAUUAGCUAGUUGGUGAGGUAACGGCUCACCAAGGCAACGAUGCGUAGCCGAACUGAGAGGGUGAUCGGCCACACGGGGACUGAGACACGGCACAGACUCCUCCGGGAGGCAGCAGUAGGGAAUCUUCCGCAAUGGACGAAAGUCUAACGGGGCAACGCCGCGUGAGUGAUGAAGGAUUUCGGGUCGUAAAACUCUGUUGUUAGGGAAGAACAAGUGCUAGUUGAAUAAGCUGGCACCUUGACGGUACCUAACCAGAAAGCCACGGCUAACUACGUGCCAGCCGCCGCCGUAA